ACAUCCAAGGUAAGUACUGUCAUUGAAAGUUCACAUUGGCGUGAACUCACGAUGAUUCAUGAAACUGUUGAGUUGAUCCAAAAGUUAAUUUCCCACUAUCUUGUAGGGUUCGUCUGUCCUGGACGUGCGAUAGCAGCUGCUGCUGUUUUACCUACGAGGUCACUCACCUGAUCAGUCUCAAAUGAGAGUAGGGAAGUGUUAAAGACAACAGCGCCCUUCACAGACUGGCCACCGUUAGAACGAGGGAGACACGAACGAUGCAGACAAAUACAAAGCAGAGACGUGGCGCCCUCCUUAGCUGUGUGAUCAAAAAGCUCCGGCAGCCGUACAGCCACGCUCCCACAGCCAUCACAGGGACUUCAAGACAGAGUCGAGAGCAGGAAAAACAUUGAAGAGUCAAUGAUGCGUCUGCAAGUGCCCCAAAUGAGAGAAACACUUAAAAUGAGGCGUGCAUGCUAGGAAUGUCUGGUCAGCUAAGUGACAUCACAGCCCUGAAGGCCCUGACAGGCCGCCCCCAGGUGGUGAGGGUAGGCAACAACAUCUCCUCCCUGCUGAUCCUCAACACUGGGGCCCCACAAGGGUGCGUUCUGAGCCCUCUCCUGUACUCCCUGUUCACCCACG